UGGUGCGAUCAUACCAGCACUAAUGCACCGGAUCCCAUCAGAACUCCGCAGUUAAGAGUGCUUGGGCGAGAGCAGUACUAGGAUGGGUGACCUCCUGGGAAGUCCUCGUGUUGCACCCC
rnacentral:rRNA from 1 species